rnacentral:rRNA from 1 species
AUUGAACGCUGGCGGAAUGCUUUACACAUGCAAGUCGAACGGCAGCACGGGGGCAACCCUGGUGGCGAGUGGCGAACGGGUGAGUAAUACAUCGGAACGUGCCCGGUCGUGGGGGAUAACGUAGCGAAAGUUACGCUAAUACCGCAUACGAUCUGAGGAUGAAAGCGGGGGACCUUCGGGCCUCGCGCGAUCGGAGCGGCCGAUGUCAGAUUAGGUAGUUGGUGGGGUAAAGGCCUACCAAGCCGACGAUCUGUAGCUGGUCUGAGAGGACGACCAGCCACACUGGGACUGAGACACGGCCCAGACUCCUACGGGAGGCAGCAGUGGGGAAUUUUGGACAAUGGGCGCAAGCCUGAUCCAGCCAUUCCGCGUGCAGGACGAAGGCCUUCGGGUUGUAAACUGCUUUUGUAUGGAACGAAAAGGCUCUGGCUAAUACCUGGGGCUCAUGACGGUACCGUAAGAGUAAGCACCGGCUAACUACGUG